rnacentral:tRNA from 1 species
AGUGAUGUAACUCAGUUGGUAGAGUACCUCUUUCAUGAAGCGGCCGUCAUAGGUUCGAGUCCUAUCAUCACUAACA